UUCUGCUCAAUGAUAAGUUAAAUAGCCGCAGUACCCUGACUGUGCAAAGGUAGCAUAAUCAUUUGGCUUAUAAUUGAAGUCUGGCAUGAAGGAAUUAAUGGGAAGCAACUGUCUUUGAGGGAAUAAAAGAAUUUAAUUAGCAAGUGAAAAUGCUUGCGUAAAAAUAAUAGACGAGAAGACCCUAGAAAUUUUUUAUAAUAUAAUUCAUAUAUUAGUAUUAUUUUGUUGGGGCGACAGAAUAACAAGAAACUUAUUUUAAAUUAUUUGAACUUUAUACUGAGUAAAGCUAAAUUACUCUAGGGAUAACAGCAUAAUUUGUUAGAGUUUGUGACCUCGAUGUUGGACUAGGGAUUUUACUAUCUAGAAGAUAUUAAGCCAGGCUCUGUUCGAGCUCUUUUCCCUACGUGAUCUGAGUUCAGACCGGA
rnacentral:rRNA from 1 species